AUACCGUGGUGUGGGCAUUGUCUCCUCAACUCCUUGAAUCUCUCUCAAGACUCUGCUAAAGACUCACCAGCCAACUAUUUGAAAUUCUGAAUUCCCCGCCUCAUUUU
rnacentral:snoRNA from 1 species